rnacentral:rRNA from 1 species
UACGAAGGGUGCAAGCGUUACUCGGAAUUACUGGGCGUAAAGCGUGCGUAGGUGGUUUGUUAAGUCUGCUGUGAAAGCCCCCGGGCUCAACCUGGGAAUGGCAGUGGAUACUGGCAAGCUAGAGCGCGGUAGAGGGGUGUGGAAUUCCCGGUGUAGCGGUGAAAUGCGUAGAGAUCGGGAGGAACACCAGUGGCGAAGGCGGCACCCUGGACCAGCACUGACACUGAGGCACGGAAAGCGUGGGGAGCGAACAGG